rnacentral:misc_RNA from 1 species
CUUUUAUUAUAAACCACCCUCUAUACUAUUCGUUUCUUUCUAUGCUUAAUUAGAUAUGUGUUUGGACUCUCCUUCUCUCUCUCUUUCUUCUUCUCUUUGGCUUUCUUCUAUCCAUUCUUGAAGUCAUUCAUUUUCUUGAUAUAUCAAACGAACAUGAGACGAAACUGCAAUCUUGAACUCCAACUUUUUCCUUUCUCCGAUCCCGACCACCACCCACCUGUAUUGGAGGAGAAGGAGACUAGUGAUGAGCAAAGCCCACAGCAUAGUCAACAGCUCACUAUUUUCUACAAUGGAAGGGUUUGCGUCUGUGAUGUCACGGAGCUCCAGGCAAGAGCCAUUCUAUUGCUAGCAAG